GGCCAGUGGCUUAGUUGGUUAUAGCUUCUGUCUAGCAAACAGGAGAUCCCGAGUUCAAAUUUCAGCAUUGCCA
rnacentral:tRNA from 1 species